CCCCUCCCGCGGCGGCGGGCGCUCGGCAGGUCUGAACCCGCGUGGGUGUAGGCGCUGGGGGUCGACCUGGCACUGCGGAGGCCGGGCGAGCUGCAGCCCUGGGGGCGCCAAUAGCCCAGCAAGGGCCCAUCCCGUCCAAGGACGGAGGAGCUGGGCGGGAGGCGGGCCCGGAGGCCCGCGCGUUCCAGGUCCUGCUCGCGGCUCUGCAGCUCCAGCUCCAGACGGCUUCUCCGCUCCCCGCGGGCGAAGUUCUGGGACGCACGGAGGACCACUGAGCCUCCGCCGGCCGCUCGGCCAUGCAAAAGACAGCGCGUCCCCCAGCGAGAGGUUGUUGCGCAUCCAGCCGGGCAGUGCCUCUCUGUAGGCGGCGCAGGACAGCGGCACGGACGGCAGCGACUGGACGCGGCGCAGCUCCACCUGCUCCGGCAGCCUGCGGGGCAGGGAUGCGGCAGGGAGGGCUUCAGCUCCCGGCGCUAGCACCGCGGGCCCCGGGUGGACGCGCGGUCGGCGGCUCACCUGGAGGGCAGGUGCCUGCCCAGCUUCCUCUUGGCGCGCAUCACCAGGUGCGCACCCUCAUUGAGCCGGGCGGGCAGGUGCUCCAGGAUGUGAUCUUCUCCGGGCAGCUGCGAGUAAUCCUCCGCUUGGGCGCUCUCCACUGCCUGGUCCUUGUCCUCUGGGCCGUGGGGGCGGGCGGGGGGCAACGCCAGCAAGGGGUUGGGCCGGUUCAGGAGGCCUGGGGUUGGGGAGAGAAGGGAUUCUCAGUUCAUCAGCGCGGCCGCGGCCCGCAGGGGG
rnacentral:lncRNA from 1 species